GCGGGUGUAGCUCAGUGGUAGAGUGUGUGCUUAGCAUGCAGAAGGUCCUGGGUCCAAUCCCCAGUACUUUCA
rnacentral:tRNA from 1 species